ACUGUUCUUUAGUUUUGGUUGAUGAACAGACCCGCACGGGAGAGACACACACGUUGUGCACACAGAAUGCUUCUCUUCUCCAUUUAAAAGGCAUGCUUAGGUCAGGAGCUCUCUCUGGGCUAAUUGCUUGAGCCUGAAAUGGCACUGCUGGUGUCUGGGAAACUGUUUCUAUUUAUUAUAAGCUGUCUGUUCCCCAGGCUGCACCAGCACAGACUCCACAGGCAGGAUCAGAGCUUUCAGGAAGGGCAUGUCAUGCUGCAGUGCCGGGCAACCAAUGCCACUGCCUCCUCUGCUCGUCAUCCAAGGAAAGGCUCUUGGAGGUCAGACAUCAAGACUUCAAAGUUUAGCUGUAUCCUAGCUUGUGGUAGUGCCUGGACAAGCAGAUUCUCACCUAAAUAAGUGACCUUGGGAAAGCAGUGUCACCUCUCCGAUAAAAUGUGCCACAAGCCAGGUCCUUCCAGGAUGCCACAUGUGCUGCACAAAGUGCUCUUCUUGCUGGGGACAACUGGCCAGAGGAUGGGAAUCUAGCACUGAAAAGCAUCCAAGUGAGACCUGAGACAGAGCAUUAGUCCUCACCUCAGGUGCUUCAGCCCUAUGAUCAUCACAGCAGUUAAGCACAGCAGUAAGUGUCCCAGCCUAUGACCAAGCAAGCAAAGGGGGGAUCCAGGUCUGAACCACACAGCCCCAGCACUGCCCUGGACUGCAGGAGCUGGUUCAGCCUGUGUGGGGGCCAGCUGGCCCAAGGUGAUGAAAAAGAACCACCAAAGUUCAGUGGUAGGUGUGGCACAUUUUUUCAAAUAUUUUAGGUGCCAGAGAUGUGUGUUUGUGUGUGCGUGGGUGUGCGUGCAUACACACAUGGGACACACUAGAGACAACAAGACAGCAGCUGCCCACAAGCUGAAUCUGUGUUGUUUCAUUUGCUCUUGCUCUGGAGACCUGGGCUGUUCCUCAAAUCCAUCACUGAGUGGAAGGUUAGCCUUCCAGACAAAUUCCCUCCAGAUGCAGUGCAUGGAGGGAGAGAUGCACCUCCUUCCAUGCAUUGACCCCAUUUCCCUCAGGAGGGACCGUGCCCUCAGAGAGAGCUCUGCAGAGUCUGUGUCUGACCCCCUCCAAAACCCUCCGUCUCGUAGUCAUUUUACUGCAGGAAAGCCCAAAUAAUCUUGAGCAUGAUGGCAAUUAAAAAUUAGCUCACAGCCUCAUCUAAAGUACGCCUUUGCAGUUAGCAAAGGAAACUUACACUCGCUUAUUGGUUUCUAAAUGAGAAAACACACGGUGUACUGAAACAUUCAGCAGGCUGAAAUCAAUUUGUUCUUCUGCAGUGUAAGUGGAAAAAAGCCAUCCUCAGAUCACCACCUACACGGGCAAUGGAGCUCACGCAAAGCCUGGGGCAGGCAAAUGCUGCAGUGGCAUGGAAGCAGCAAGGAAGGGCCUCGGGACACUAGGUGCCAGAGAGCAUGAUUUUCAAGUUUAGAUUUCAAGAAAUCAGCCACUCUAUUUUAAGUGGAUAACACUGUCCAGCCUGAAGAAUUAAGAAAUGUGUCAUUCACUGGAAAAAAGGUAGUAGCACAUAAAAUUAAUGAGAACUAAUAUGAAUAAUAAUAUGACUGUGAACUGUGCCAUGUGCUUGACACAGAACCACUGGGAUAAGAUCAUUUAGAACUGCAGGCAACAGCUUGCUUUCAUACCACCAAGUGUUUUACUGUAGCAGAAAGGAAGGGUAGAGGGCUGAGGGUUAGAGAAGAACAUAACCCCAGUAAAUGCCCUAACAUAGGGCAAUUUUAGUGCUGACCUUUGAGUGCUGCCUCCCACUGUCUACACCAAC